rnacentral:rRNA from 1 species
GAUGAACGCUGGCGGCGUGCUUAACACAUGCAAGUCGAACGGAAAGGCCCUGCUUUUGUGGGGUGCUCGAGUGGCGAACGGGUGAGUAACACGUGAGUAACCUGCCCUUGACUUUGGGAUAACUUCAGGAAACUGGGGCUAAUACCGGAUAGGAGCUCCUGCUGCAUGGUGGGGGUUGGAAAGUUUCGGCGGUUGGGGAUGGACUCGCGGCUUAUCAGCUUGUUGGUGGGGUAGUGGCUUACCAAGGCUUUGACGGGUAGCCGGCCUGAGAGGGUGACCGGCGACAUUGGGACUGAGAUACGGCCCAGACUCCUACGGGAGGCAGCAGUGGGGAAUAUUGCACAAUGGGCGGAAGCCUGAUGCAGCAACGCCGCGUGCGGGAUGACGGCCUUCGGGUUGUAAACCGCUUUCGCCUGUGACGAAGCGUGAGUGACGGUAAUGGGUAAAGAAGCACCGGCUAACUACGUG